CCGGACUGGCCGAUCUCCAAAUACACUUCUGGCAUUCUACAAUCCUCCUGAGUCCUGGCCUUGCUGGAGCUGUGGGUCCUCCUACCCACAGCUGGAUCUCUGCUGCGCCUUCCUACUCUACUGGCUUGCUUGGUCUUCCCUCCCCGGUCAGGGGCGUCAUGUGAUCUGAUGAGAUAGUGUAUGUGAAAGCCUUUGUCAACUGUAAGGCACAGCCGAAUGCCAAUUGUUGCUUUUGUUAUUACACAAACC
rnacentral:lncRNA from 1 species